CUUAAUUGCUACUCCCCUUCCUGUUUGCACAGAAGAAAACUCCAAUCAGCUCCUCCUACAUCAUCAAUGCCCGCCCUAAGCACCACCCCCACUCAAAGGUUGCAUACUUCCCAUACCGCCAUAUUCUGUCGAAGGAGACAGCCCAGCCACCAUGGGUUGUGUGCUCCUUCCCACGUCCUCAACUCAAUAAACCUGUUCAUUUUGUACUUUUGCUUCUCUGUUGCACCAGAAAACUGUUUCAUGAUGGGGCCGUGACUCAGAUGGCAGAGCGCUGGCUCCAGAGCCACUCCCAGUUCCAGCUCCCUGUGAACCACAGGACUCCAGGACUGUUUACUUGCUACCGUUACUCCACAUGCAACAGCGACCUUCCUCACAUCGCAGGUAUCUUCUCACUCCAGAUGAAUUUUAGCAGUGAUUUCUCGAGAUCUAUGAGGUAUGUUGAUGGUAUUUUUAUUGGUAUUGCAUCGAAUCUGUAUAAGAGUUUUGGGAGAAUGGCCAUUUUUACAAUAUUUAUUCUUCCUAUCCAUGAGCAAGGGAUGUCUUUCCAUUUUCUGAGGUUGUUCAUCAUCAUUACUCAUUAGAGAAAUGCAAAUUAAAACCACACUGAGAAUCCAUCUCACUCCAAGAAUGGCCAGGAUCAAGAAAACCACCAACACAAAUGCUGGAGAGGCUGUGUCUACAUGGGAAGAGGGGAGAUGGAUUCUAACCAGGACCAUAGGUCUUUUUCUAUUCCAUGACACUUUUUUGGACCUCAAAAUUCAGAAAGAGGAAGCAAAGGUGUUUUCCAUUUAACUGUCUACAGCUCCCACUGAAUCCACAUCCUGUGUCACCAUAAGUGCUUCUCUGAGGAAGUCACAGGAAGUCUCAGUGCCUAGAAGGAGAAGCCUCAGGAGGUUCUGGCUGGGAGCUCUGCCGCAAGCAGUGGCCACCAGCCACGACCCGCAGGCCUGGACUGGGAGAGCUGCCAGGAACAGGUUUGAAGCAUUACUUUAUGGGGAGGCUGUGGGCUUUUGGAGUGACAGCCCAGGGACUUGAUUGCUAUCCUGCCUCUGUCACUGAGUGUGUGAUGCCUUGGCAGGUCAGGGUCCGUCCCCAGGCCUCAGCUUACUCAUUGUCAAAUAGGAAAAAAGUGAAUGAAAAUGUUCCUGGGUUUCCCUGAAGACCUGGGUUAUGACUGUGCUCUGUAUCAUGCUGGUGUGUCACCAAGACCCUAAGGAUGAUGUCAUCAGUCUGCAGUUGGGACCCCAAGGUUCUGCUCUACGCGUGUGAUAGGAGACUGUGGGUGCCAGGCCAGAGGACUGAGCAUGAGUGUCAAUGCAGUGCAGCCCUGUGUGUGCUCGAGGACCCACACAGGGAAGAGGCAGGCUGGCUAGGAAGUAUAUUCAGAGACAGACCUUGGCCAGUGAUGCUGAGCUGCUGCCCAACCUUGCAGUGGAUCAGUCUCUGUGCAUGGCUGUGCCUGAAGAGUGGGGUGACCGAGGUGUCCAGGAUGUGCAGAGAUCCUUUUCCUCACUGCAUUGUUCAUGCUGAAGAAAACAUUAUCUGCAAACCAUGGUUUGCUGACCCUGAAUAAAGCAAAUCAAGAAUCACUCUGGACUGGACUGGCAGGAAUCAUCAUGAAAAGAAGGAAAAGCACUCCACAGACUCAGGGUGGUGUGGAGUGGGCUGGGGGCAGUGAUGACACCAGGAGACUCAGGCUUUGCAUUGCUCUUGUGGAUUCACAGAGGAAAUGAAUGAGCAUCACCUGACUCUAGAACAACUCUGCAGCAGAUGGGACUGCAGAUCCAUGUAUUAAGAUUUGAGGAUUAUUAAGGACAAUGUCCCAAAGCCCAAAUACUUUACCCAACCAAAAUAAAAUCUGUCAUUUAAUGAAA